rnacentral:tRNA from 1 species
AAUAUAAAUAUACAUUUUAUAGUAUAAAUACUAUAAGUAUUUAGUUAUUUAAAGAUAUAUAUAUUA